GACGAACGCUGGCGGCGUGCUUAACACAUGCAAGUCGAACGAAGCACCUUGAUUUCUUCGGAUUGAUUGGUGACUGAGUGGCGGACGGGUGAGUAACGCGUGGGUAACCUGCCUCACACAGGGGGAUAACAGUUAGAAAUGACUGCUAAUACCGCAUAAGACCACAGUACCGCAUGGUACAGUGAUAAAAACUCCGGUGGUGUGAGAUGGACCCGCGUCUGAUUAGCUAGUUGGUGAGGUAACGGCCCACCAAGGCGACGAUCAGUAGCCGACCUGAGAGGGUGACCGGCCACAUUGGGACUGAGACACGGCCCAAACUCCUACGGGAGGCAGCAGUGGGGAAUAUUGCACAAUGGGCGAAAGCCUGAUGCAGCGACGCCGCGUGAAGGAUGAAGUAUUUCGGUAUGUAAACUUCUAUCAGCAGGGAAGAAAAUGACGGUACCUGACUAAGAAGCCCCGGCUAACUACGUGCCAGCAGCCGCAGUAAUAC
rnacentral:rRNA from 1 species